rnacentral:misc_RNA from 1 species
AAAUAAAAGUGAAUUUUUUAUAUAUGGCACUUUUAAAAAAAAAUCCAUAUCCACCUUGUGUGCAAUGUAUUUAUAAAAGAGAGAGAGAGAAUUCUCUCUUUUUUAUAUUUCUAUAUCAACACUCUUUAUUGCUUUGAAACCUGUUUGUCUGAAACUAAUAUUAUUCUUUGAAUAACUUAAUUCAAAAAUA